AUUCUGAUUCUGAAUUCUGAAUUCUGAUUCUGAUUCUGAUGGGGAUACAUGUAUACAUUAAUGCUAACUAAUGCUAACUAAUGCUAGCUAAUGCUAGCUAAUGCUAACUGAGCUAACGAUGCUAACAGCUGUGUUAAUUGUUUUCUAGACACCAAUGGACGCACUUUGUUUUUGAUUUACCGUGAUUAAUCAGCUCAUUAACGCUACUGUUCUACGGGACUACUUAUUUAAUGCCAUUCAGACCAUGCCUUGUGUGAGAUGAAAAGCAGACUGGGCCCUCCAGUGGAUAAAUGACAGCGAAUCCACAUUUGGUGCACAUGUCUGCUGGAAGAGAGCAGCUCAACAGGUCAAAUGUAACAGAUGUGUAACAGAACGUCAUCUCCCGUCAGCGUCAGAAGUCUGCAUCCAGUGUGAAUUCAUCGUCCGUCAUGCUUGACAUGACUCCAAAUUUCUGAUACUCCGCUACUCGCUUC